rnacentral:snoRNA from 1 species
AAGACUGUAUUUUCAGGAAUCAUGUCUAUAGUUCUUUACUUGGAAAUGUGUUUUGAAAGUGUAUGUCUCCCAACCCAUUAUGAUGAGCUAUAAUGCUCUUUUCUGAGAGUGAAUCAAGAGCAGAACUGUGACUUUAAACACAAUCUGUCAUUGACGAGCAUUCAUAUUGUUUCUGGCAAUAUUGGUAAAGGGAGUAUGAUCUGAGUGGU